rnacentral:rRNA from 1 species
AGAACUUAGCAGAGAUGCUUUGAUGCCUUCGGGAACUCUGAGACAGGUGCUGCAUGGCUGUCGUCAGCUCGUGUUGUGAAAUGUUGGGUUAAGUCCCGCAACGAGCGCAACCCUUAUCCUUUGUUGCCAGCGGUCCGGCCGGGAACUCAAAGGAGACUGCCAGUGAUAAACUGGAGGAAGGUGGGGAUGACGUCAAGUCAUCAUGGCCCUUACGAGUAGGGCUACACACGUGCUACAAUGGCGCAUACAAAGAGAAGCGACCUCGCGAGAGCAAGCGGACCUCAUAAAGUGCGUCGUAGUCCGGAUUGGAGUCUGCAACUCGACUCCAUGAAGUCGGAAUCGCUAGUAAUCGUGGAUCAGAAUGCCACGGUGAAUACGUUCCCGGGCCUUGUACACACCGCCCGUCACACCAUGGGAGUGGGUUGCAAAAGAAGUAGGUAGCUUAACCUUCGGGAGGGCGCUUACCACUUUGUGAUUCAUGACUGGGGUGAAGUCGUAACAAGGUAGGCGUAGUGCU